AAAUCCAACCCCUCCGCCAAUUCUCUAGUAUCAGACACCGGAUUGAUCCGCUUACUCUUCGCAUCACAUUCUUAGGCGUCAAGGAACUCAGAAGAAGUGUUUCUAAUUGCCAUAACUGAGUACAAGAACCAAGAAGAAGAAGAAGAAGAAGAAGAAGAAGAAGAAAGGUUCAAAUAUUGUUGUGAUGGUAAAGAACAGUGACAUGAUAGCCAGUUGAAGAAGGACUUUAAUUACCUCAAUAUAUCCAAGGUUUUCUGGA